rnacentral:misc_RNA from 1 species
CCGAGUUGACAAACUCCCUAAACCCCUGUGAACAUACCACUAACAGUUGCCUCGGCGGGGAGCGAGCCCCUUCCCGGGGAAGGAGCGGGACAGGCCCGCCGAGGUACCCUAAACUCUUGUUUACUAUAGGUACUUCUGAGUAUACCAUAAAUAAAGUCA